rnacentral:rRNA from 1 species
AUUGAACGCUGGCGGCAUGCCUAACACAUGCAAGUCGAACGAGUGGCGGACGGGUGAGUAGUGUAUGGGAAACUGCCUGAUGUAGGGGGAUAACUACGGGAAACAUUAGCUAAUAAUGCUUACGAUCGGUUCUGCCCCUGUUGGAUUAGCUAGUAGGUGGGGUAAUGGCUAACCAAGGCGUCGAUCCCUAGCUGGUCUGAGAGGAUUACCGGCCACACUGGAACUGAGACACGGUCCAGACUCCUACGGGAGGCAGCAGUGGGGAAUAUUGCACAAUGGGCGCAAGCCUGAUGCAGCCAUGCCGCGUGUAUGAAGAAGGCCUUCGGGUUGUAAAGUACUUUCGGCGAGGAGGCGUUACCCGCAGAAGAAGCACCGGCUAACUCCGUGCCAGCAGCCGCGGUAAUUC